rnacentral:rRNA from 1 species
AACGAACGCUGGCGGCAGGCUUAACACAUGCAAGUCGAACGGGCGUAGCAAUACGUCAGUGGCAGACGGGUGAGUAACACGUGGGAACCUUCCUAGGGGUACGGAACAACUCAGGGAAACUUGAGCUAAUACCGUAUACGUCCGUGAGGAGAAAGAUUUAUCGCCCUUAGACGGGCCCGCGUCGGAUUAGCUAGUUGGUGGGGUAACGGCCUACCAAGGCGACGAUCCGUAGCUGAUCUUAGAGGAUGAUCAGCCACACUGGGACUGAGACACGGCCCAGACUCCUACGGGAGGCAGCAGUGGGGAAUCUUGGACAAUGGGCGCAAGCCUGAUCCAGCCAUGCCGCGUGAGUGAAGAAGGUCUUCGGAUUGUAAAGCUCUUUUGCCAGGGACGAUAAUGACGGUACCUGGAGAAUAAGCCCCGGCAAACUUCGUGCCAGCAGCCGCGGUAU